CCUGGGGGCGGGGGCGCGCCGUGCACGCGCGCUGCCACUCCGCGCGAGGGGCGGCGUGUCCCUGCGGGGAAACACACCGGGACCAGCGCGGGGGCGGGCGACUGCGCUUUCCCGCGGGGCCGCUUGGCACGGGGGCGGGGUUCCUCCCGGCGGCGUGCGGCUCCGGGGGGCUGGUUUCGCCUCUGGCCCGGCCCGUCCCUGCCCAUCGCUCCCGUGAGCCCCCGUCCCGCCCGGCUGGUAGGGAAGGCCGGAGCCGCCCCGGGAAGCGCUGCCGCGGAAGCUAACGGCCAGGGAAAAGCUGCGUGGGGCAAGGGGGCAAAUCAGCGCAUCGCUGCGACCCCUGGAAGCGCGGCCGAUGAGGUUUUUCGAAUUAGGAAGCAUAGAGGGGACCCUUAAAAAGAAGUUCCAUGCAUGACAUUUCUCAGCAAUGAAAAAGUCACCAACGCCAUCAUCCCCAGCCAAACAGAAGGUGAGAGGGAUGGCAGGAGCCUUUCCUCUGACGCCUCCCCAGAAGCAAGUGGGGCUAAGAUGCAAUCAGGAGCAGCUGUGGUGCUGGGACAGCCAGGCACAGAAGGGAGUCAGUGCCUGGCAGAAAGAGGCUUUAAGGGCAAGACGCUUCUCCUCAAAGUGGGCCACUGCUUGAUGGAGGAUGUGGCACCAGUGACAUAUAUACAUAUCACUCUCAAGCCUCCCAAAAUCACACCAACUGGUUCCAUUUAAGUCUGCUUUAAGGGCUCAGCAUUUACCAUAUACCAAUGUCACAUGGAGUUCAGAUGGAGAACACAGUAGAGGAGCAGCUGCACUGGUGGAGGCCCAAGAUCAUGACUCCUGACCAGGGGCACACAGUAAAUAGAUACCACUGCAUUAAUGCCCCAAUGUGCUAGCACCUACAGCAGCUGUCUGGGGGUCUGUACUUUCUGCUUGGAACCUGCCUCCUGCCCUCACUCUGACAGUCCAGCCUUGCCAUAAAAUGUCUUCAACUGUAAUCCUUGAGUUAACAGCUGUGGAAAAGCAAACAUUCUUCCCUUAUUGCUCAGCCUGCAAGGAGAUGUGCCAGGGACUGACAAGUUCUCUGCCUGACCGUGGAUGAGGAAGAUAUAUUGAUAGUUCAUGGCUAGGUGGGGACAUGGAGAACUGGAGACAAUAGGCCAAAUCCUGUUCACGGAGGAGAGCCAUUGCCCUCCUCUCAUGGGACCAGGUGAAAAGAGAUGAAUAAGACCAUGCACCCACUGCAACAGAGAGGCUCUUUCUACUGCAGUGUCCAAAAUACAAGGGAGUAUACGAUAUUUCCUCAAAUUACCACCAAUUCAGAAAGACAUUGAAGAGCAAUGGUAGAAGCUCUGCUUGACCCUGGGAGAAAGGAGAUGGCACUACAUUACGUACCAACGGACCACC